GAGAUUGGGCAGGAGCUGAAUGUUGAGAUCCUCUGCUCUACCUCCUUGAAGGACAACAGGUGCCCCCAAAUGCCAACAGAGUCCAGUGCUGGCUCAGGGUGUCCCCACUGACCUGACAGUCCUCCCCAAGUUCUGCAAGUCUUGCACAUGAUCAUGGUGAAAUAUGGAUCACUGAUGAGGAGGAGUGAGACCUGUGUGCUAUGGACAAACCGGGCCAACCUGUUAAAUAAGCAAAUGCAACAUCUGGUGCCUAAUUUCCUAGGAAGAGAACUCAGCUAUGCCUACAUGUUCC